rnacentral:misc_RNA from 1 species
CCUAUGUUACUCCUCUUUUGAAGAAAGAGAUAUCAAGUUUACUGGAUGACCUACACUGUAUAUAUAUUUUAUAGAAUUAUAUUAUAGUGCUAUGAAAAAAUAACAUUGAAACGUAUGAAUUUCAAACUUUAUUGACAUAUCACUAUAGCAAGCCAGAUGAUUUUCUACUUGCACAGCUAUUUUUAUUAUUCCAUAAAAAUGGCAGCCUAUAUUUAUUAUUUUUUAAGAGCAAAACUGUGAUAUAUGUCGGCGAUGAAUUAAGGUGUGCGAUUCUUCCAUCCUUGAUUUCAGGGUUUAGCCAGUGAAUUGUCUAGUCGUUAGUUGACAUUUGCCGCCAUACAAUGUAGUUGUUUUGUGAUAUACUCCACAAUAUGACAUAGCUACAUAUCCAAUAAAACUGAAAGAAAAUGAACUCCAUUAAACUGUUAUUAGAUUAUGUUAUAGGACCUUGUCUUUAUAAAGCUUAUUGUUAGAGGCUGCAUGAAUAUUCAGGUUUUCGUAAUUUCGCCUGAAUAUUUCUUGUAAGUAAAUCAUGAUGUAGAAUUUUGUAAAUCCUAACAGACUUGUGGUAUUGAAAGAAUAUUGAUUUAACAACUCUGUGUGGGCUGUAUGAUGAUGAACAGCCAUGUUUUAGUCAUGUCACUAAACUGUUGUUAAAGUUGUUGUUGAAAUUAACUCCAAAUUGUUUUAGAAAGACGUUACAUGUAUGUAUAUGUAAAAUAUAAGAAUUAUAACUAUACUUAUAUUUAUAUUUGCAAAUUGCACAUGGAAAAAAUGAAAUAAAAUGAAUUACAG